CGGUGUUCAACUGGCGUGUCCGCGGGACGUCCUGCCGGUGGGCUUAGCCCGCAAGGGCGGCCCAACUUCAAAUCCCAUCGCGGUGCUCUUCACUGAGUGUCGAGGUGGGCCGGCACGUUUACUUUGAACAAAUUAGAGUGCUUAAAGCAGGCUAAAACUUCGCCUGAAUACUGUGUGCAUGGAAUAAUGGAAUAGGACCUCGGUUCUAUUUUGUUGGUUUUCGGAACCCCGAGGUAAUGAUUAAUAGGAACGGAUGGGGGCAUUCGUAUUGCGACGUUAGAGGUGAAAUUCUUGGAUCGUCGCAAGACGGGACAGAAGCGAAAGCAUUUUGCCAAAAACGCUUUCAUUGAUCAAGAACGAAAGUUAGAGGUUCGAAGGCGAUCAGAUACCGCCCUAGUUCUAACCAUAAACGAUGCCAGCUAGCGAUCCGUCGACGUUCCUCCGAUGACUCGACGGGCAGCUUCCGGGAAACCAAAGCUUUUGGGUUCCGGGGGAAGUAUGGUUGCAAAGCUGAAACUUAAAGGAAUUGACGGAAGGGCACCACCAGGAGUGGAGCCUGCGGCUUAAUUUGACUCAACACGGGAAACCUCACCAGGCCCGGACACCGGAAGGAUUGACAGAUUGAGAGCUCUUUCUUGAUUCGGUGGGUGGUGGUGCAUGGCCGUUCUUAGUUGGUGGAGCGAUUUGUCUGGUUAAUUCCGAUAACGAACGAGACUCUAGCCUGCUAACUAGGCGUAUUUUCGACAUCUCAAAGGUCCGUCGUCCCGGCCCUCGGGUCGUGGGCGUGCGCGAUUUUUACUGUCGGCGUACUAUCAAUUCUUCUUAGAGGGACAGGUGGCUUCUAGCCGCACGAGAUUGAGCAAUAACAGGUCUGUGAUG
rnacentral:rRNA from 1 species